AAAGCUUAAGGGCACAAUUCUAGUUGGAUUCACAGCUAAAUUAAAUGGAGAGAUUAGUAGUCAUCUUUCAAAGAGUGUGAUGUUCAAUUAAUUGUGAUGUUCAAUCAAUUUUUUACGAGAUCGAAAUCAGUUUAAUGGUGAUACUUUUGCCCACUAUUUAGGUGAAGUUGACAUGUUGGUGUUCAUGGAAGCCUGUUGCAACAUUAAUCCAAAGGCAAGUUGCAAAAGAAAAGGGAGAGUAUUUGGGAACAAAAGGAGCGAAAGUCAAAAAAUUGAAAUAUCAAAGCAACUUUCAGGAGCCACACGAGCUGGGUCAUUCCACAGGGGCUAGACACACGGUCGUGUGAGCCACACGGCCAUAUUCCAGGCCGUGUCAAAAUCGUAAAUUUCACUCCAAACGCGUGGAAAAACAUAAUUUUUAGGUUUUUCGAGCAUUCCAAGACCUAUAUAUGACAAACAUAAGAAGAUGGGAGUAAAUCGUCAUAGAAUAUUUAAGAAAACAACUCAGAAAAUACUAUUGAAGUCGACUCUGAAAUAGAUUUCCAUCAAGACUGAAGAUCUUCUUUUGAUUUCUUUAAAGUUUAUUAUGAGUUUCUUUAUUUCUUAUGGCUAUAUUGUCUUUGAGAUGUUUUUAUUUGCAAUUAUGAACUAACUUUCUAAAUA